UGCGUAGGUGGUCUGAUAAGUCAGAGGUGAAAGCCCACCGCUUAACGGUGGAAUUGCCUUUGAUACUGUCAGACUUGAAUAAGGUUGAGGUCGGCGGAAUGUGUCAUGUAGCGGUGAAAUGCAUAGAUAUGACAUAGAACACCAAUUGCGAAGGCAGCUGGCUAGACCUUUAUUGACACUGAGGCACGAAAGCGUGGGGAGCGAACAGGAUUAGAUACCCUGGUAGUCC
rnacentral:rRNA from 1 species